GACAGAGGGGGCAAGCGUUGCUCGGAAUUACUGGGCGUAAAGGGCGCGUAGGCGGGAUGGUAAGUCGGUCGUGAAAUCCCUCGGCUCAACCGAGGAACGUCGAUCGAUACUGCCGUUCUUGAGGAUUGCAGAGGAGACUGGAAUUCCCGGUGUAGCGGUGAAAUGUGUAGAGAUCGGGAGGAACACCGGUGGCGAAGGCGGGUCUCUGGGCAAUUCCUGACGCUGAGGCGCGAAAGCGUGGGGAGCAAACGGG
rnacentral:rRNA from 1 species